GAUGAACGCUGGCGGCGUGCCUAAUACAUGCAAGUCGAGGGAAUGAUGAGGAGCUUGCUCCUCUGAUUUAGCGGCGGACGGGUGAGUAACACGUGGGUAAUCUGCCUGUAAGACGGGGAUAACUCCGGGAAACCGGGGCUAAUACCGGAUAACAAGAGAAGAAGCAUUUCUUCUUUUUGAAAGUCGGUUUUGGCUGACACUUACAGAUGAGCCCGCGGCGCAUUAGCUAGUUGGUGAGGUAACGGCUCACCAAGGCGACGAUGCGUAGCCGACCUGAGAGGGUGAUCGGCCACACUGGGAAUGAGACACGGCCCAGACUCCUACGGGAGGCAGCAGUAGGGAAUCUUCGGCAAUGGGCGAAAGCCUGACCGGGCAACGCCGCGUGAGCGAUGAAGGCCUUCGGGUCGUAAAGCUCUGUUGUUAGAGAAGAACAAGUACGGGAGUAACUGCUCGUACCUUGACGGUACCUAACCAGAAAGCCACGGCUAACUACGUGCCAGCCGCCGCCGUAA
rnacentral:rRNA from 1 species